AUUGAACGCUGGCGGCAUGCUUUACACAUGCAAGUCGAACGGCAGCGCGGGCUUCUGCCUGGCGGCGAGUGGCGAACGGGUGAGUAAUGCAUCGGAACGUGCCCAGUCGUGGGGGAUAGCCCGGCGAAAGCCGGAUUAAUACCGCAUACGACCUGAGGGUGAACGCGGGGGACCGAAAGGCCUCGCGCUAUUGGAGCGCCCGAUGUCGGAUUAGCUAGUUGGUGGGGUAAAGGCUUACCAAGGCGACGAUCCGUAGCUGGUCUGAGAGGACGACCAGCCACACUGGGACUGAGACACGGCCCAGACUCCUACGGGAGGCAGCAGUGGGGAAUUUUGGACAAAGGGGGCAACCCUGAUCCAGCCAUGCCGCGUGCGGGAAGAAGGCCUUCGGGUUGUAAACCGCUUUUGUUCGGGAAGAAAUACUCUGGGCUAAUACCCCGGGGGGAUGACGGUACCGAAAGAAUAAGCACCGGCUAACUACGUG
rnacentral:rRNA from 1 species